ensembl:lncRNA
GAAACAUGCCCCGCCCUCAAACACGAUAACACCACGUGACGCGCUCAUAAGUUUCACUUUGUCUGAAGCAUCUGUUUCGUUUAAGGUGAAUGUGACUCUGAAGAAGAGGAGCAGCGCGGAGCAGCAACAUGUCGUUUACAUUUGGUGCAGGAAGUUCCAAUUGUGUUUCGAUCCCCUCCACCACCUCCUCCACCUCCUCCACCUCCACCACCUCCACGAGCCUGUUCAACCUGGGCAUGUCCGACAGCUCAACAGAGAAAGAAACCAAAGAAACCAAGAAGACGCAGGAAUUCAAACACAGAGCUGAGAGGAGACAGGUGCACGGCAUUCUG